rnacentral:misc_RNA from 1 species
GAUGAAGAACGUAGCAAAAUGCGAUAAGUAGUGUGAAUUGCAGAAUUCAGUGAAUCAUCGAAUCUUUGAACGCACAUUGCGCCCUUUGGUAUUCCUUAGGGCAUGCCUGUUCGAGCGUCAUUUAAACCUUCAAGCUCAGCUUGGUGUUGGGUGACUGUCCGCUUCACCGCGGACUCGCCUCAAAAUUAUUGGCGGCCGGUACAUUGGCUUCGAGCGCAGCAGAAACGCGAACUCGGGCCCGUCGUAUUGGCUCCCAGAAGCUAUCUUCACAAUUUUGACCUCUGAUCAGGUAGGGAUACCCGCUGAACUUAAGCAUAUCAAUAGGAGGA